GGGUCAGUAGGUCGGUCGUGCCACCGGUACGUACUGGUCUAACUGAUUCCUCCUUCCUGAAGAACCGUAAUGCCAUUAAUUUGGUGUUGCGGGGAAACAGGACUGUUACUUUGAAAAAAUUAGAGUGUUUAAAGCAAGCUAACGCUUGAAUACAUUAGCAUGGAAUAAUGAAAUAGGACGAUCGAUCCUAUUUUGUUGGUUUCUAGGAUUGACGUA
rnacentral:rRNA from 1 species